UUGAUUGUCUUGACCCUUUUUGUGAUUCUUAGGCGAAGAUAAUUCUUUCAUUAAUAGUCCAUGAUCUUGGGCCUCUCUCCAAGCGAAUAGCGUUGCCCCGAGUGUCCCUAACAUGUAACAUUUCACUAAAGGUUACUUCCUCAAAAGAUCUGCAAUGUGGCAAGAGAUGCUGAUGUUGACGACCCUCUCACAGGAUACCCAAAUUGUUUUUUUUCUUUUUUCCUUUUUUUUUGUUUUUUGUUUUUUUAUUUUUUGUUUUGUUUUUGCUGACACACACACAACAGGGGGACAUUAGAGUAAUUCCCGCAACGGUGUGCGAUACAUGAUAUUUGCUGCCAAGAGACAUGCCAUUUAAACUUUUCCUUUUUUGAGCCUGCACAGAGUUGUGCUCAUUCAUUUGCCCCUUUCAUACAUGCACCACCAGGUGAGCAACACAACAUUUUCCCGCCCUUAGCUCAUAACAAUAAUU
rnacentral:lncRNA from 1 species